rfam:Catenaria anguillulae PL171 BCR44scaffold_152, whole genome shotgun sequence.
GGUGGUAUGUCCGAGUGGUCUAAGGAGAAGGACUUAAGUUCCUUUGUUGGCUUCCAACGCGUGGGUUCGAACCCCACUGCCACCA